rnacentral:rRNA from 1 species
UCCGGUUGAUCCUGCCGAAGGUACUGCUAUCGGUGUCGCUAAGCCAUGCGAGUCAUAUGUAGCAAUACAUGGCGUACUGCUCAGUAACACGUGGAUAACCUGCCCUUGGGACCGGCAUAACCCCGGGAAACUGGGGAUAAUUCCGGAUAACGCAUAUGUGCUGGAAUGCUUUAUGCGUAAAAUGGAUUCGUCUGCCCAAGGAUGGGUCUGCGGCCUAUCAGGUAGUAGUGGGUGUAAUGUACUACUAGCCAGCGACGGGUACGGGUUGUGAGAGCAAGAGCCCGGAGAUGGAUUCUGAGACAUGAAUCCAGGCCUACGGGGCGCAGCAGGCGCGAAAACUUUACAAUGCGGGAAACCGUGAUAAGGGGACACCGAGUGCCAGCAUCAUAUGCUGGCUGUCCAGGUGUGUAAAAUACACCUGUUAGCAAGGGCCGGGCAAGACCGGUGCCAGCCGCCGCGGUAACACCGGCGGCCCGAGUGGUGAUCGUGAUUAUUGGGUCUAAAGGGUCCGUAGCCGGUUUGGUCAGUCCUCCGGGAAAUCUGAUAGCUUAACUAUUAGGCUUUCGGGGGAUACUGCCAGACUUGGAACCGGGAGAGGUAAGAGGUAC